GGGGAAUAUUGCACAAUGGGCGAAAGCCUGAUGCAGCAACGCCGCGUGGAGGAUGAAGGCCUUCGGGUCGUAAAGCUCUGUUGUCAGGGAAGAACAAGUAUCGGAGUAACUGCCGGUACCUUGACGGUACCUGACCAGAAAGCCACGGCUAACUACGUGCCAGCAGCCGCGGUAAUACGUAGGUGGCAAGCGUUGUCCGGAAUUAUUGGGCGUAAAGCGCGCGCAGGCGGUCCUUUAAGUCUGAUGUGAAAGCCCACGGCUCAACCGUGGAGGGUCAUUGGAAACUGGGGGACUUGAGUGCAGAAGAGGAAAGCGGAAUUCCACGUGUAGCGGUGAAAUGCGUAGAGAUGUGGAGGAACACCAGUGGCGAAGGCGGCUUUCUGGUCUGUAACUGACGCUGAGGCGCGAAAGCGUGGGGAGCAAAC
rnacentral:rRNA from 1 species